UAAGUAGGUGAUGCUUAUAGAAAUGUACACAUUGCACAGAAAAUUCACAUUUAUUGUCCAAGUUAAGACUUUUGGAACUGCUGUGAUUAAAAUGGUCUGAAAUGCCAAAAUGCCAAAAGAAACCAACCGUUCAAAGGUAACCACAAUUGAUGUUAUUUAAGUGCCUUUAAAUACAAGCUAUAGGUGCUAUAGCAUGGCAGUGUGAAUGUUGGAAAGAUACGAUGACUUUGAAGCACAGCGUCUACAGAUGGCCCAGUGAACCUCAUGCGCUAUGGGGGGGAUGAGAAAGAGAAGGGUGGAGACAGCCGAGGGAAUGCCUUGUCUUUGCAAACUGCUUAUGUUACAUCAGAAAGAGGGAAGUCCUUGCCUUAAAUUCUGUUCAUAUCAGGAGUUUUCCUUGUCUGUUAUCUUAUCAGGAAGCUUGCUUACAAUCUGUGGUGAAUAAAAGAUUACCUUAAAGUUAAUAAAGGGUUCUGGAGAAAGCAGACAUUUAUUACAGUCCAUUCCACAAGAGGCAUCCAAACCAUGACCAAGGCAUGUGGCAUUUGGGGGAGGCAGGUUUGGAAGGCACAGAAAGAAGGAAGGAAGGAGCUGCUGCCCACAUGGGGAUCUCAGAUCCAUUUAGGUGAAACAUCAGGGCCAGGCCAGGCUCUGCUCUGGUUUUCCCCGAAUCCUUGAAAACACAGGUGUAGAAAACACUGCAGUUAACCUGUCAAGGACUCUAGGGGGACACCAGGAGGUGUGGAGCGCAUGCGUGGUAGAAACUUCCAUGUAGCUGACGUGUGUAGUAGUUGAAGAUAUUAGUGUGUAGAGCAAGUUGGACAUGAUAGAGGUGGCAGGGGGGCCAUCUGAGAAGUGGCCGGAAGGGUCUAGUCUGCCUGAGGGAAAAGGAGACUUGAUAGAGAACAAGCUUGUGCAAGACAGUGAACUUCUUUUCCAUUGGCACUAGAGGUAGGUGCCGAGUGGAAGUUACUAGUUCCUUGUCUCCAUGGAACCCAGCCUUAGGAGGGUCCCAGGCUCUGAGCAUCUGUGAGGCCAGCUGCAAAGACUGCUUUUUGAAUGCACGAGUCUGCAUCGGCUAGCCUGAGUUGAUUCUGACCAGACUUGAUGACUUUAAGUCGGAACCAAUUUUUUUUUUUUAAGUGAGAGAAAAUAAUUUGGCCUGAUAGUCUAAACCAUGAGGCUUUAAAGGUACUCUGCUAUGAAAAGAAAACACUGUGUUUGUUCCUCAUGCAAAACAUAUCUAUUGUUCAUUAUUUAUAAAGGUGUUGAACUUCUUAGCUCAGUUACUCAAGUCAUACAUAGUACUUCUUAAAACGAUUUUAUAUCUGUAAGCACCCCGUAUAUUUUGUAUUACUGCCUCACUUGUACAGCUUUCUACUUUUGUAAGAACACCAACCAAGCAAGUUUUAGCAGGCUUGAACACUGGGUGGCAGGUGUUCCUGUGCAGUGUGGUACAAGUCUCUUUGACCACAUACACAUUGCUAUUGGGGGAUUUAAAUUGCCAUGCAGGGUCUCAUGGGCCUAUCUCUGUUGUAGAAUUGCGGCCUAUAUCAUAUCAUAAUUGCCAAAUUUUUCUGAAUGUGACUUUUUUUUUUUCCUAAUUUGCUGGGCUUGGGAUUAACUUGCAUUCUUUUGCCACCUUUUAUGUUGUAUUUAUGAAAAAAACAAAAACAAGCAAAAAAAUAAGUACCGUACUUUGGAUUGUUGUGCUGUUGUAAUGUGGACUUAACAUCAAUAAAUAAAUAUUUAACAGAUG
rnacentral:lncRNA from 1 species